rnacentral:rRNA from 1 species
UACGUAGGUGGCGAGCGUUGUCCGGAUUUAUUGGGCGUAAAGCGCGUGCAGGUGGUUGGUUAAGGCCGAUGUGAAAUCUCCCGGCUCACCUGGGAGGGUGCGUUGGCGACUGGCCGACUGGAGGCAGGUAGAGGCCGGUGGAAUUCCCGGUGUAGUGGUGAAAUGCGUAGAUAUCGGGAGGAACACCAGUGGCGAAAGCGGCCGGCUGGGCCUGUCCUGACGCUGAGGCGCGAAAGCCAGGGGAGCAAAGCGGG